CAAUAUGCAGUAUACUUAGUAGACAGCACGUACCUUGAGGACUCAGUUGUUAGAAAACUGAUUCAGACACAGCCAGGAAUUAACAUCAAGUGCACUAUUAAUAAGUAUAAUACAAUACACUUUAGAGUACUUAUAAAAAUUAAACUGUAUUUUCAUCCUGGAUAGCAUACUAGUAUACUUCCUAAAAGUCUACUUUAACUUCACUUACCUAAAAACACUGUAAUAAGUACAGUAUAUGAGAUUUGGUGUACUUAUUUGGAGUACACUGAAGUACAACUUAUUGACACAUGAGAUUUAGUAUACUUAUUUGAAGUACGCUAAAGUACAGCGUAUACAAACAUUUAGAAGCAUAAUUUUAAAAAGUACAUUUAAAGCAUAUAUUAAGUUCAAAAAGGUAACACUGGGUAACACUAAACAUUACACUGUGUAGGUAUAUGAUAAGUACUGUUUGAGCCACUAAUAUGCCCUACGAUGGACAGGAAAACAGAGCUUGCAGGUAGAUGGAUUCACAGAUGUGUGCAGUUAUUUCUGUGUUUUGUCAGAACCCAAUGGUCCAUAGCCUGCUUUUGCAAAGAUUAGUUCAAUGCGAUGCAAUCAUGCUUAACAAAAACACCAGAUGGCCCAAAUCUUUAUCAAAAUAUAUCUUUUUUUGCACAUGGGGACUAGCAUGCAAAUCUGCGAUGUCUAUGAAUUUUCUUUUUACGGAAAUAUGUUUUUUCUAUAUUUGCCUUUUAUCUUAAGCAGUAUUAGUGGUAUUCCACUUUGUGAUUGUGUGCUUCUAUGUAUUUGAAUGAGACGACUGAUGUUUGCGACCUUUUUUAAAAGAAGAUAAAGAUCAUAAGGUUUUCAGGAGAAUAUUUAAUUCAGCCCACAUGGAGCCAUUUGCAUGGGUGCUUCUAUAUGGAGUGUGUUUUCAAGGUGCCAUAUUUGGCGUUUCCUGGGCAUGGAGUGUCACCGUGCCCAGAGAGAUGGAGGGCAUGGUAGGGUCCUGCCUGGUCAUCCCCUGCAGAUUUUCUUAUAGCGAAUACCCACCCAACAACAAGGGCAGAGUGGUCUGGUACCAAUAUGUCGACAGAGGAUACCCUCUGGUGUGCGAUCCAGAAGACCAAAAUGCAGUCAUCGAAAAGUUCAGGGGAAAAACCUCUUUAUACGGAUCACCUUACAAGGGAGACUGCAGCCUGAAGAUUUACCCCCUGGACUGGCGUCACCAAGAGGAGAAGGUUUACCCCUGGGUGGACCCAGACUACGUCACAUAUCGCUAUUUUAAAUUUUAUGACAAAGCUGUGAAAAUCCGUGUACGAGACAGAGCAGACAAACCAGAAUUAUAUUUUUCCGGCUCACGUAAGGUGGGAGAACAAAUGACCGUCCAGUGCAGCGCCUACCACACGUGCCAACCGCAUCCCCCAACAUUGCACCUGACCGUAGCGGGACAUACUGGGACACCCAAAGUCAAUCACAAAGAAGUGCAUGAAGGCAAGUGGGAAAUCACCAUGGAGAUGACCUGGAUAUUAGACAACGCCCACCAAACCAUCACUUGUGAAGUCAUACAUCCCUUCGGCCAGAGCGCAUCCAAAAUCGUCAGCCUUCAGGGA